rnacentral:rRNA from 1 species
AAGUCGUAACAAGGUUUCCGUAGGUGAACCUGCGGAAGGAUCAUUAGUGAAUAAAUAGGGUGUCCAAUUUAACUUGGAACCCGACCUUCUCACAUCUAACCCUGUGCAUCUGUAUUAAUGGCGAGCAAUUUUCGGAUUGUGAGCCAUUUCACUUUAUAAACACUAGUCUAUGAAUGUAAAAUUUUUAUAACAAAUAAAAACUUUCAACAACGGAUCUCUUGGCUCUCACAUCGAUGAAGAACGCAGCGAAAUGCGAUAAGUAAUGUGAAUUGCAGAAUUCAGUGAAUCAUCGAAUCUUUGAACGCAAAUUGCGCCCUUUGGUAUUCCGAAGGGCAUGCCUGUUUGAGUGCCUUAUAAACCUCACCCCUAAUGUUUUAUCACAAUAGGUUGGUGCUUUGGGUGUUGCCAUUUACCUGGCUCGCCUUAAAUGACUAAGUGGAAUGCGUAAUAAGUUCUCGCAACCCUCCACUCUAAUACAAUUUAUAUUCUGACCUCAAAUCAGGUAGGACUACCCGCUGAACUUAA